rnacentral:rRNA from 1 species
AGAGUUUGAUCAUGGCUCAGAUUGAACGCUGGCGGCAUGCUUUACACAUGCAAGUCGAGCGGCAGCGCGGGGGCAACCCUGGCGGCGAGCGGCGAACGGGUGAGUAAAAGAUAGGAACGUGUCCUGUAAUGGGGGAUAGCUCGGCGAAAGCCGGAUUAAUACCGCAUACGAUCUGUGGAUGAAAGUGGGGGAUCGCAAGACCUCACGUUAUAGGGGCGGCCUAUUUCUGAUUAGCUAGUUGGUGGGGUAAAGGCCUACCAAGGCGAAGAUCAGUAGCUGGUUUGAGAGAACGACCAGCCACACUGGGACUGAGACACGGCCCAGACUCCUACGGGAGGCAGCAGUGGGGAAUUUUGGACAAUGGGGGCAACCCUGAUCCAGCCAUGCCGCGUGAGUGAAGAAGGCCUUCGGGUUGUAAAGCUCUUUCGGACAGAAAGAAAUCGCUUGGGAUAAUACCCCAAGUGGAUGACGGUACUGUAAGAAGAAGCACCGGCUAACUACGUGCCAGCAGCCGCGGUAAUACGUAGGGUGCGAGCGUUAAUCGGAAUUACUGGGCGUAAAGCGUGCGUAGGCGGUAGCUCAAGUCAGAUGUGAAAGCCCCGGGCUUAACCUGGGAAGUGCGUCUGAAACUAGGCUGCUAGAGUUUGGUAGAGGGGGGUAGAAUUCCUGGUGUAGCAGUGAAAUGCGUAGAGAUCAGGAGGAAUACCGAUGGCGAAGGCAGCCCCCUGGACUAAAACUGACGCUCACGCACGA